GCCUGGGUGGCUCAGUUGGUUGAGCAUCUGACUCCUGAUCACAGCUAGGAUCUUGAUCUCAGGGUCAUGGGUUCAAGCCCCAUGCUGGGCU
rfam:Canis lupus familiaris chromosome 17, whole genome shotgun sequence.